UUUAAAGAGAGUUUGAUCCUGGCUCAGGACGAACGCUGGCGGCGUGCCUAAUACAUGCAAGUCGAACGAACCGACGAAAAGCUUGCUUUUCUGACGUGAGUGGCGGACGGGUGAGUAACACGUGGGCAACCUGCCUAUCAGUUGGGGAUAACUCCGGGAAACCGGGGCUAAUACCGAAUAAUAACGAGCGUCGCAUGACGCU
rnacentral:rRNA from 1 species